UGGAAAAACAAAACAAUUUCCUUAAAAAGUUGUACGUAGUUUCUUGAACCGUAAUGUCUUCCAAGAUCAAUCGCAUAGGGCUAAAUCAAAAUCGACCUCGUACAAAUCGGUAUUAGAAAUCGGAAUUAACCUAGCUAUAAUCAACGAUCGCAUAAGGCUACAGCAAAAUCUAUUACACACGAAGUCUUUCCAUGUUCGCCUUCUACUAUGCCAGUCGUAUUAUAGUCAUAUUACGCCGAGAUUCAGACCUGCCCAGCAACACGAGGUAGGCAGCCCCCGUCGCAGUCCGCAGUCUGUCGCAGCAAGGCUGCUAAGCGAUGACAUAGUUUACUUCCUCUCAGUUUCAGGUUAUUCCUUUUCUAGUUCAAGCAAAUAUUUAUGAUGUGAUGUGGAUGUGUUUAUUGGAAUAAGGUUAUUCCAAUGCUAAGUAUGAAUUACCCUUUCGUUUUUCUAAUGCACUAUAGGUGUAUGACAAAAUGCCUAAAAGAGAUUACUCAAUGAUACACACUGUUUUUCUCAUGAAACCAUAAACCAGGUUGGAUAGCUUGCAAAAAAGAAUAACUUAAAGCUUCAUAUAAAUGGGGCUCAUAUCUUUAAUACAUCUGUUGCUCUUAGUGUCCCUAUUAAAAUGCUAGUAAAAGUUGUUGAUUAUGUUUCGGUAUGCUUGUCGAAAGGACUUGGUGCACCAGCUGGAAGUGUUAAUGUCUUGAGUUAUACAAACCUUUUUCAACAAUUUGUAUGCAUAUAUGCUUAUGUUUUACAAACAUUGUGUGAAUUCUUUUGCAACGCGAGUGCCUACCAAGAUAGAGGGGUAUCUUUGGAAAAACUUCCUUCUUGGGUAAAACUAUGGUUACAACAUUGAAGUUGGAACAUUUGUUAAACUAUGGUUACAACAUUGAAGUUGGAACAUUUGAAAGAUGAAAGACUUGGAACAUUUGUCAAUAAUUUUUAUUUUAAAGUGUAAGGGUAUUAUGGUCAAACUAUGGUUACAACAUUGAAGUUGGGUAAAAUAAUAGAGGAACAGUGUGUACUUUUUGAUGUCGGAUAGCUCAUCCAGGUGCUAUUGAGAUACUUUGCUGAAGAAUUGGUGGGAAUACUUGAAGAAUUGGAAGAAUUUUAAGAACUCUAUAAAAUUUUUGGGUUCUUGUAUAGUGAAUAGACCAUGUAUAUGUUGAUAGAAAAUGUAUAGAACAAAAGUAUUAUUUUUUUGGUGUAAGUCGAAAUAGCAACUCAUUUUUGGUCGUAUUGUUUAAUGUGACUUGAAAUUUCGUA